ACUUCUGUUUUAACCUUU
rnacentral:snRNA from 1 species